GCGGGCAUCGUCCAAGGGUAGGACCACGGUCUUCCACACCGUAUGUGCGGGUUCGAAUCCCGCUGCCCGCUCCG
rnacentral:tRNA from 1 species